rnacentral:lncRNA from 1 species
UCCUUUUCUCUCAUUUGCUUCGCUAUUGCUAGGCCUGGAUAGCUGGGCUAGUGGGCUAACUUGCUGCAGCCAGAAGGUUGCCAUGGGCUGUAUCCCAGGCCGAAUCGAAUAACUUUGUACGUACAGUAUAUGUAAAAAAAAAACCUUUGUCAUGGGCUUUGACUUGGGUUGCCUGGGCCCUGGGGCCAGCUACGCCUGGUCAUGUGUCUCUGAUGCGAUAGCUUUGUUUCACCACCUAUGUAUAAGUGUUUCUCAAAAAAAAAAAAACCUAUGUAUAAGUUGGUUCGCUCAAAAAAAAAAACCUACGUACAAGUUGCAAGUUUCUAAAAAACAAAAUGUAUAAGUUGCAAAAGCAUCCAGACUUGCUCAGUGCACAAAACUUUGCUUUAGAGCCGCUAGGAGUAUUGUAGCUUCAUUAGCAUGCUCAAUUCGUCCUGCACUAGCUGCAAUAAACAGUUUCAUUCUGAUCUGUGACAUUGGAGCUCCAGCCAUCUCCCGUGUUGAUAUUGUCCAAAAAGUUGGCACCACAAUUCACUUGACUACGACAAGAACUCGAUUACCAGAUCUCAAGUUGAUAUGUUUCAUUGAACUUUGUUUCAUCGUUUCUACUGGCUUAAUACUGCUUGUCAUUGUUACACAACUUCGGUGGCCGGAUAUUACACAUUUAGGUGUAAGCUUUUAGACAGUACAAAGACACAAGCCAGAAGAACCCGUGACACAUAAUGCAUGACAACGGUGAGAUGUAAGAUAUGACAACUAUAUGACGCAAUACAAGAAUAAAACUACAGGAUACAACAUGGUACAAACACACAAGUUAAGACAGCCAUGAGACACAAGGCUGAACAAUUACGAGACAUUGACAAUCAGUAUGCAAACAUGCAGUAAAAAAACAUAACAACCGUGAGACAAGUUAGGAUAACCAUAAGACACAAGACCAGACAUUCAAGGGGCACAAAUGGCGGACAACUAUGAGACUGUGAGAUAUAAAGAAUGUCCAAAAUGGAC